rnacentral:tRNA from 1 species
GGGCGAGUGGCGGAACCGGCAGACGCGCCAGAUUUAGGUUCUGGUGGGGAGACCCGUGAGAGUUCAAGUCUCUCCUCGCCCA